UGUGGGCGCGCAUGCGCGCUGGCUGCUGAGGAGGGCGCGGGGCGGCCGUGAGGAAGGGGUGCGGGCGGCGGGAAGCGGAGUCUAAGGGCGCUGUGAGGGCGAGGCGGAGAUGGAGCCCUGCCUUCAGCCCUCCGGCGUCGUUUGUGGGCAGGCGGGCCCGAACUGAAGGGUGAACCCAGCGCCUCGUGGCUGGAGCGCUGCGGGCGGCACUCGGUCCUGGCCGCGUGGGAAGGAGCGCUUACAGCCGAAUAAUCUUCUGCUACGGGGAGCAGCGUUGGAAAAACAUAGAUGCUAAAGCGGCCGGCUUGCCCCGAGGACUUAACUCGAUAGCUAAGCGCUUGAGUUCACGUCAGAUUGCGUUUGGCUGCAGGCCGCGUGCCUGGCGUCGCCCCAAAGGAGUGGAGUUGCCAGAAAGGAGUAGGAAACUGUAUGGAGCUGGAGUUGGUGUAUGCACAAACCUGCACUGCAGAGACAGCAUCAUCACCUGGACAAGGCAUGUGUCUGCCCUGACUUUGUCUGGAGACAACCUAAAGCUGCAGCAGCUCCCUGACACGCUGAUGCCAAGAUGCACGUGUGGUGGAAGUGUGGGAAGAGAGAAACAGAGGGUUUUGGUAGCCGUUUUGUGUCAGGAUUACCAAACUCCAGUUCAUCAUCCUGUUUAGUCUGCUGUUUGAAGACAAAUCUGGCCCCUGCUCACACUGGCUAUUGGCCAUG